ACUAGAAACAUAUGGUGUUUCCUCUUUGUUUUGGGACUGUGGUUACCACUCACAGUCUUGUGUUAGGUGCAGUUAGUUUUUAGACUUGUGGAUUGGGUCAUUAAGAGGCAUCUCAUUUCUCACCCUCCCAUGUGCAAGAGCCACUCUAAGCCACAAUAAAUACUUUUCCACCCAACACAGUUCUGUGAGACUCUCAGUCCUCAUGUGGGAACAUAUACUAGCUUCAUUCACAUUAACACUGUUUAUCUAAUUGAUUCUAUAACGGCACACAUCCUUUCAGGUGUUUUUAAAGCAAGACUGUGUAUUUAGAUGGUUUUUUUAUCCUUUUAUCUGCAGAAUCCAUUGAAGAGGACAUUUUUGGAGAGAUCUUUAAAAUAAAUGCAAUUGUGAUAGAAUAAAAUGAAGAACUUAACAACAUUGCUUCAAUAAUGCUCAUGCUGGGGGAAGUCAGCUGCCACAUAAGAAGUCCAACUACACUGUGACCUUCAUGCUGUGAGGAAGCCCAAGUCACAUGGAGAGGCUGCAUGGAGAGACAGAGAUUCCCAGCUAUUGCCCAGCUGUUCCAGCUAUGCCAGCCCAGGCAUCAGACAUGUUCUGUGGAUCAAGAUUUGGAAAGGGCAAGUGCAGACGGCUUGUCUCUGCUCCUGAUAUAUGCAGCCUAAGCUGGGAAGACUCAA